GAUGAACGCUGGCGGCGUGCCUAAUACAUGCAAGUCGAGCGAAAAGACGAGGCGCUUGCUGCUUUCACGUUAGCGGCGGACGAGAGUGUAACACGUGGAUAACCUACCUAUAAGACUGGGAUCACUUCGGGAAACCGGAGCUUAUACGGUAGAAUCUAUUGAACCGCAUGGUUGGAUAGUGAAAGACGGUUUUGCGGUAACUUAUAGCGGGAUCCGAGCCGCAUUAGCUGGUAGGUGAGGUAAUGGGUUUCCACGGCAACGAUGCGUAAGCGACCGGAGGGGGUGAUCGGCGACCCUGGAACUGAGACACGGUCCAUGCUCCUACGGGAGGCAGCAGUAGGGAAUCGUCCGCAAUGGGCGAGAGCCUGACGGAGCAACGCGGCGCGAGUGAUGAAGGUCUUCGGAUCGUAAAACUCGGUUAUUGGGGAAGAACAAAUGUGUCAGUAACUAUGCACGUCGUGACGGUAACUAAUCAGAAAGCCACGGCUAACUACGUG
rnacentral:rRNA from 1 species